UACGUAGGGGGCUAGCGUUGUCCGGAAUCAUUGGGCGUAAAGCGCGCGUAGGCGGCCCGAUAAGUCUGCUGUGAAAGUCCAGGGCUCAACCCUGGAAUGCCGGUGGAUACUGUCGGGCUAGAGUUCGGAAGAGGCAAGUGGAAUUCCUGGUGUAGCGGUGAAAUGCGCAGAUAUCGGGAGGAACACCAAUGGCGAAGGCAGCUCGCUGGGACGUUACUGACGCUGAGACGCGAAAGCGUGGGGAGCAAACAGG
rnacentral:rRNA from 1 species